rnacentral:rRNA from 1 species
AACGAACGCUGGCGGCAUGCCUAACACAUGCAAGACGAACGAGACCUUCGGGUCUAGUGGCGCACGGGUGCGUAACGCGUGGGAACCUGCCCUUAGGUUCGGAAUAACUCCCCGAAAGGGGUGCUAAUACCGGAUAAUGUCUUCGGACCAAAGAUUUAUCGCCUUUGGAUGGGCCCGCGUUGGAUUAGCUAGUUGGUAGGGUAAAAGCCUACCAAGGCGACGAUCCAUAGCUGGUCUGAGAGGAUGAUCAGCCACACUGGGACUGAGACACGGCCCAGACUCCUACGGGAGGCAGCAGUGGGGAAUAUUGGACGAUGGGGGAAAGCCUGAUCCAGCAAUGCCGCGUGAGUGAUGAAGGCCUUAGGGUUGUAAAGCUCUUUUACCCGGGAUGAUAAUGACAGUACCGGGAGAAUAAGCUCCGGCUAACUCCGUG